rnacentral:rRNA from 1 species
CAGCAGCCGCGGUAAUACGGAGGGAGCUAGCGUUGUUCGGAAUUACUGGGCGUAAAGCGCACGUAGGCGGCUUUGUAAGUUAGAGGUGAAAGCCUGGAGCUCAACUCCAGAACUGCCUUUAAGACUGCAUCGCUUGAAUCCAGGAGAGGUGAGUGGAAUUCCGAGUGUAGAGGUGAAAUUCGUAGAUAUUCGGAAGAACACCAGUGGCGAAGGCGGCUCACUGGACUGGUAUUGACGCUGAGGUGCGAAAGCGUGGGGAGCAAACAGGAUUAGAUACCCGCGUAGUCCCUGUCUCUUAUAC